rnacentral:misc_RNA from 1 species
GCGAGUAGUGACGUCAGUUACCUUUGAGCAAGACGGAAGUGUGUCUGUUCUGUCCGUGACUGAAGUGACUUUUAAGCACAGCACCGAGAGAAGACUAGCAAAUUAGGACUCUGCUGCGAGAAAUGGAAGAUUUAAACUUGUAUAACGUUUUGGGAGUAACAAAAAAUGCUUCCGGUAGUGAAAUCAAAAAGGCUUUUAACAAGUUAGCAAAGGAAUAUCACCCUGAUAAAAAUCCAAAUGCUGGAGACAAGUUCAAAGAAAUCAAUUAUGCUCAUGAAGUUCUUUCCAACCCAGAAAAAAGAAGAAUUUAUGAUCAUUAUGGUAUCCAAGGCUUACAAGAAGGCGUUGGUUCAGGAUCAUUUCCAUUUAGGGAUAUGUUUGGGGGUAUUUUUGACAUGGGUUUUAUGGGUAGUCAUCAUCGACAUAGUCGUCAUCGAGGAGAAGAUGCUUUUCACAAAUUAAGAGUAAACUUAGAAGAUUUUUACAAUGGCAAAACUUCUAAACUGCAAUUAUCUAGAACUGUCGUUUGUAAAAAAUGUCAAGGAAUUGGAGGUAAACCUGGUUCAGUAAUGACUUGUCGUGGUUGCCAUGGCAGGCGAAUUAAGAAAAGUAUGCGUCAGCUAGGACCUGGUAUGGUACAAGAAAUACAGAGUACUUGUUCAGAAUGUAAUGGUGAAGGAAAUUACAUUAAUGAGAAAGAUAGGUGUAAAGAAUGCUCAGGACGCAAAGUGGUCAGUGAAGACAAGAUUUUAGAAGUGCAUAUAGACAAAGGCAUGAAAGACGGCCAGAAAGUCUGGUUUAGGGGAGAAGGAGACCAAUUACCCAACAUUGAACCAGGAGAUGUCAUAAUUAUUUUGACUCAAGGUGAACAUAAACAGUUUUCUAGAGAUGGAGAAAACCUUUUGUACAAACAUACUUUGGGUCUAACUGAGGCCCUUUGUGGUUUUGAAUUUGUAUUGACUCAUCUUGACAAACGGGAAUUAAUUAUUAAGAAUGCUCCAGGAGAUGUUAUUCAACCAGGAACUACCAAGGUUUUGAAAGGAGAAGGAAUGCCAAUUUAUAGAAAUCCUUUUGAAAAAGGAGAUUUGUUCAUUACAUUCGAUGUAGAAUUUCCGUCAAAUAAUUUUCUGGAUCCUACAAGAAUGAUUGAAUUAGAGAAUUUGUUACCCGCCUAUUCUAAAGUAGAUAUUCCUAUGGAAAGUGAUAAUGUGGAAGAAGUUACAUUGGUUGAGUAUGAUGCUUCCAUGAGAAAUGCUUCUCGCAGAAAUGAGGCUUAUGAUGAAGAUGAUGAUGCUCAUGGUGGCCGUGGUCCCCAGAUGCAGUGUGCACAUCAAUAAUGUAUGUGUUAUAUAUGAUAUGUACUGUAUUUUUUUUUUACUGUAACUACAAAUCAUUGUAAAUUCCUAUAUGAACUUAUUUGGUUAUAUAUGACUCACUUAACUCAUUUUCCCAAUCCCUCAAGAAAAAUGAUAAAAGAAUAAAAGAAAAAAACGGAACAAAAUAUUGAUUUUUUUUUUUUUUUUAAAUAAAUAAAUCUCAAAUAAAAGUUAUAGUAUUAAAAUUCUGACUGACCUUUUUCUUCCCCAUUGUAUUUCUUUUCAUGUUUUGAAGAAACCUUGUAAAUUCCAAUAUUUGAUGACUUUUAAAUUGUUGUUAGUUAACUAGCUAUGAAAGUGUGAAUUUAUUAACUCUUUACACUUUAGAAACAUUAGUAAAACACUGUACAAAACAAGUUUCUAUUUUUAAUAAUUCUUAACCAUUGCUUUAACACUAUAUCCAGUGUUAACUCUAGGCUAGACACCUGUACAAAAGCAGGUUAACAUUCCUGUUAUAUAUUUCAGUAAAAUCAGAAAAUUACACAGAACAAAAUACAUAUACUUUACAUUUAGUCUGAUGGUCCAAAAAGAUUCUGAAGUCUCAGUGUCCCAUGCAUUUUUUCUUUAUUCCUAUCCUUAUAGCUUGUACUUUCACAAUAGACAAACAAAACAUUCUAUUAUAUUGCAGAUUUAAUAUAGUUACAUCAACUUGAUUGAUUUUUAACUGUGAUAUUUACUCCAUAAGAGCAAGUUAUACUAAGCAAAUUCAUUCCUUUACUUUUCAGAUGCAACAUUUAACAAUGUCCAUUGCCCAUUUAUGAAAGUAAUUUCCAUUUCACCACAUACUUGGUAAAUGAUAAUCUUGUGUUAGUGAUUAUAUUUUUCCAAUUAAUAUCUAUGGACUAACAAAGUUAUAUGAAAGAUGGUCCUGCCCAUGCCAGCAUGGCAAACAUGUUAAAUGAUGAUGGGAAUAUUUAAUAGAACCUGUUUCAACCUAUAUAUACCGAAAUAAAUCUGCAGUUCUGAGAACCCCUUUGUUGCUCCAAAGAACAAAGCAUGCUUACAUACACCACAUUGUAUGAAAAACUGCUGUCUAAGAAAUUAUCAGUCCAAUUCUUCUAAAGUUGCUUGGCUUACACAAAGCAAGUUCUGAACAGUUAAAAUAUAUAUGCAACGUUGUAUUCUGCACAAAUAUAUUAGUAAAUAAAAUGUGACUUGGGACCAGACUAUAAUAUAUCUAGCAAGAUACAGAGCUAAUGGGGACAACUCAACUUCAACAACAAAAAUAGAUUUGUGUAUGUCUUGUUUUUUUUUAGUAAUACCUAAAAUUUGGUUUAGAACUGGAUAUAUAUAUAUAUAUCAAUGGAACUGAUACUAUUUGAGCUAUUAUAGACAUUUAGAAUCCCUAAGUUUUCCCUUUAAUACUAGUGAAUAUAUUUAUUUAUCUUUAUAUUCUAUUAAAUGUUUAGUCAUUAUUUAACUGUUUAGCAAUUUUGCUUUAAAAAAAAUUCAUGUCAAAUGUUUUGGCAAUUUUCUAAUUUUAUAUUAUUUGUAGAUUAAGCCUCAAUAUAAGCAUAAAUAUUAACAUAUUUUAGUCAUAAUUGAAAAACUGCUUAUUAAACCAUAUCUUUAUAGGAUAUUGUCAGCAGUUUGAUUUUAACAUUUGAAUUGUCUGUGAGUGCAAACUGGGUAUAUUUUUCAUUAUUAUAUUUUAGGAUUGUCAAUUAAAAUCUUGACUGUUUUUGGCUUAAUUUUUUUUUCUUCUGAAUGAAAAGACCAAUUUGUGUAAUUUAUCAAGUUGAAUAAUAUGAAUUCAACUUAAGCUUUACACAAAACUGUUCCUGUUGUAUAUAACCUUUUGUACAGAUAUGUAACAUAGAGGUGCACUUUUUUUUUUUUUUGUUAAUUACAUCACAUUCUUGAGAGAAAAUUGGUAACUGAGAAGAAAGUUUUCUGUUCCUGCUUGUAUAACAAAUAUUGCUGCUCUUCUCAGUUCAAAUAAAUCUAAGCUAUCUUCCAAUCUUU